CACCGCGUGGGGGAUGAAGGCUUUCGGGUUGUAAACCUCUUUUCUGGCCCCACGAAUAAGGGCGGGAGGAAAUGCCCGUCCGAUGACGGUACCCCAGGAAUAAGCAUCGGCUAACUUCGUGCCAGCAGCCGCGGUAAGACGAAGGAUGCAAGCGUUAUCCGGAAUUACUGGGCGUAAAGGGCGCCUAGGCGGCCGAGCAAGUCACCCGUGAAAGCCCUCAGCUCAACUGAGGAAUGUCGAGUGAAACUGCUCGGCUUGGGUGCAGGAGAGGAGGGUGGAACUCACAGAGUAGCGGUGGAAUGCGUAGAUACUGUGAGGUACCCCGAUGGCGAAGGCAACCCUCUGGCCUGCUACCGACGCUGAAGCGCGAAAGCGUGGGGAGCAAAGGGGAUUAGAUACCCCCGUAGUCCACGCCGCAAACGAUGUUCACUGGGUGUCGGUCGCUAAUACAGAUCGGUGCCGGAGCUAACGCGUUAAGUGAACCGCCUGGGGAGUACGGCCGCAAGGCUAAAACUCAAGAGAAUUGACGGGGCCCCGCACAAGCGGUGGAGCACGUGGUUUAAUUCGAUGAUAAGCGAAGAACCUCACCUGGGUUUGACAUGCUAGUGGUAGGAACCGGAAACGGGGACGACCCUUGCCUUCGGGCAAGGGAGCUAGUACAGGUGAUGCAUGGCUGUCGUCAGUUCGUGUCGUGGGACGUUGGGUUAAGUCCCGAAACGAGCGCAACCCCUGUUGUCAGUUGCCAGCGGGUAAAGCCGGGGACUCUGACGAGACUGCCGGUGAAUAGCCGGAGGAAGGAGGGGAUGACGUCAAGUCAUCAUGUCCCUUAUGCCCAGGGCGACACACAUGCUACAAUGGGGGGUACAAAGGGCUGCAAUGCCGUAAGGCUGAGCCAAUCCCAAAAAACCUUCCUCAGUUCGGAUUGAGGUCUGUAACUCGACCUCAUGAAGCCGGAAUCGCUAGUAAUCGCAGGUCAGCCACACUGCGGUGAAUGUGUACUCGGGGCUUGUACACACCGCCCGUCACACCAACCGAGUGGGGGGUACUUAAAGUCGCUCUUUAUAGAGCGCCAAGGGUAACCUCCGCAAGAGGGGUG
rnacentral:rRNA from 1 species